rnacentral:misc_RNA from 1 species
UGCUGCUCUCUGACCUGA